rnacentral:rRNA from 1 species
UAGGGAAUCUUCGGCAAUGGGGGGAACCCUGACCGAGCAACGCCGCGUGAGUGAAGAAGGUUUUCGGAUCGUAAAGCUCUGUUGUUAAGGAAGAACGAGUGUGAGAAUGGAAAGUUCAUACUGUGACGGUACUUAACCAGAAAGGGACGGCUAACUACGUGCCAGCAGCCGCGGUAAUACGUAGGUCCCGAGCGUUGUCCGGAUUUAUUGGGCGCAAAGCGAGCGCAGGCGGUUAGAUAAGUCUGAAGUUAAAGGCAGUGGCUCAACCAUUGUAGGCUUUGGAAACUGUUUAACUUGAGUGCAGAAGGGGAGAGUGGAAUUCCAUGUGUAGCGGUGAAAUGCGUAGAUAUAUGGAGGAACACCGGUGGCGAAAGCGGCUCUCUGGUCUGUAACUGACGCUGAGGCUCGAAAGCGUGGGGAGCGAACAGG